UACGUAGGGUGCGAGCGUUGUCCGGAAUUAUUGGGCGUAAAGAGCUCGUAGGCGGCCUGUCACGUCGGAUGUGAAAGCCCGGGGCUUAACCCCGGGUCUGCAUUCGAUACGGGCAGGCUAGAGUUCGGUAGGGGAGAUCGGAAUUCCUGGUGUAGCGGUGAAAUGCGCAGAUAUCAGGAGGAACACCGGUGGCGAAGGCGGAUCUCUGGGCCGAUACUGACGCUGAGGAGCGAAAGCGUGGGGAGCGAACAGG
rnacentral:rRNA from 1 species